GCCAGGUGUGGUGGCUCACACCUGUAAUCCCAGCAUUUUGGGAGGCUGAGGCAGGUGGAUCACUUGAGGCCAGGAGUUCGAGACCAGCCUGGCCAACAUGGAGAAACCCCGCCUCUA
ensembl:misc_RNA Metazoa_SRP Metazoan signal recognition particle RNA